AACGAACGCUGGCGGCAUGCCUAACACAUGCAAGUCGAACGAAGUCUUCGGACUUAGUGGCGCACGGGUGCGUAACGCGUGGGAAUCUGCCCUUGGGUACGGAAUAACUCAGAGAAAUUUGUGCUAAUACCGUAUAAUGUCUUCGGACCAAAGAUUUAUCGCCCAAGGAUGAGCCCGCGUAAGAUUAGCUAGUUGGUGGGGUAAAAGCCUACCAAGGCGACGAUCUUUAGCUGGUCUGAGAGGAUGAUCAGCCACACUGGGACUGAGACACGGCCCAGACUCCUACGGGAGGCAGCAGUGGGGAAUAUUGGACAAUGGGCGAAAGCCUGAUCCAGCAAUGCCGCGUGAGUGAUGAAGGCCCUAGGGUUGUAAAGCUCUUUUACCAGGGAUGAUAAUGACAGUACCUGGAGAAUAAGCUCCGGCUAACUCCGUGCCAGCCGCCGCGGUAAUAC
rnacentral:rRNA from 1 species